UUUAAAAAGAUUACUAUAAAAUUUGUAUAACUUUAAUUUCUUUUGAUAGUGGCUUUUAAGAUUGGUUUUGGUUGAUAGUAACUUCUAAAUAUUUAGAAUCACCUUUGUUAGACAUUGGUGACCUUUGAAAAUUUCUUUUGGUUCUUUUAUUUGGUGUUUAGAGCAUAAAUUAUGUAAAUCUUAUUAGAAAAAGGAUUGAAGAAGGAUUUUGGUAGCAAAGGGAGUAAUUAAGGCACCAAUAUAGAUGAAUGGAGAUGAAUAAUGAAAAUCUCUAUUCCUAUUGGUCAAAAAUCAUAACCAAUGGGAUUUGAGGAGGCUGUCCGAGGCCAUAUUAGAGUUUAGGGUUAGUUUCUCAAGGCCAUUCGAGUUUUGAAGGCUAGGGUCAGAAGGUUUAGAUUUUUGGCUAUGGUUUUGGUGCAAGUUUUGUAUGGUUUGGAGUUUAUAUGAAGGAGAUACAAGUGUUCAAAGUUAAGGUGUUGAUUUGAGAGCUAUUGUCAUUUUUUUGGCAUAACGCACGCGUAUAGAUGGCAAUUGAGGAUCGGUGACUGCGACUAGAGAGAGCACUUUUGCAGCUAUACUUUUCAUACAUUGCUUAUUGAAUUCCAAGUUAAAAUGAAGGAGUUAUUAGAUUUUGAAGUCAGUGCAUGCAAUCUAAGUGUAGUAAGUAACCCGAUUUGCUAGUGGUUGUCUCUUGACCUAUGUCUU
rnacentral:lncRNA from 1 species